rnacentral:lncRNA from 1 species
GAAAAGGCCACAGACCCAAAGGUCAUGUGCACAUGCUAGAAAGGAGAGAGUUUGGUACAUUGGGUAGGGUAAUAGAGCAUGUACGAUAUCUCUUCCACAUGCUGCUCAAUUAAUUGGAGGCUGAAUUAGAUCCCUGAGCUCUGGGAACAAACACCCUCUCAUCAUUCCCUUUUCAUACGACCCAUUAUUUACUAACAUU